rnacentral:rRNA from 1 species
UGUAUUUAUUAGAUUAAAAACCAAUGCCCUUCGGGGCUCCUUGGUGAUUCAUAAUAACUUAACGAAUCGCAUGGCCUUGUGCCGGCGAUGGUUCAUUCAAAUUUCUGCCCUAUCAACUUUCGAUGGUAGUAUAUGGGACUACCAUGGUUUCAACGGGUAACGGGGAAUUAGGGUUCUAUUCCGGAGAGGGAGCCUGAGAAACGGCUACCACAUCCAAGGAAGGCAGCAGGCGCGCAAAUUACCCAAUCCCGACACGGGGAGGUAGUGACAAUAAAUACUGAUACAGGGCUCUUUUGGGUCUUGUAAUUGGAAUGAGUACAAUUUAAAUCCCUUAACGAGGAACAAUUGGAGGGCAAGUCUGGUGCCAGCAGCCGCGGUAAUACCAGCUCCAAUAGCGUAUAUUAAAGUUGUUGCAGUUAAAAAGCUCGUAGUUGAGCCUUGGGCCUGGCUGGCCGGUCCGCCUCACCGCGUGCACUGGUCCGGCCGGGUCUUUCCUCCUGGGGAGCCGCAUGCCCUUCACUGGGUGUGUCGGGGAACCAGG